rnacentral:rRNA from 1 species
UAGGGAAUCUUCCGCAAUGGGCGAAAGCCUGACGGAGCAACGCCGCGUGAGUGAUGAAGGUCUUCGGAUCGUAAAACUCUGUUAUUAGGGAAGAACAAAUGUGUAAGUAACUAUGCACGUCUUGACGGUACCUAAUCAGAAAGCCACGGCUAACUACGUGCCAGCAGCCGCGGUAAUACGUAGGUGGCAAGCGUUAUCCGGAAUUAGUGGGCGUAAAGCGCGCGUAGGCGGUUUUUUAAGUCUGAUGUGAAAGCCCACGGCUCAACCGUGGAGGGUCAUUGGAAACUGGAAAACUUGAGUGCAGAAGAGGAAAGUGGAAGUCCAUGUGUGGCGGUGAAAUGCGCAGAGAUAUGGAGGAACACCAGUGGCGAAGGCGACUUUCUGGUCUGUAACUGACGCUGAUGUGCGAAAGCGUGGGGAUCAAACAGG